rnacentral:rRNA from 1 species
GACAGAGGGUGCAAACGUUGUUCGGAAUUACUGGGCGUAAAGGGCGCGUAGGCGGCCUUCUAAGUCGAACGUGAAAUCCCCGGGCUCAACUCGGGAACUGCGUCCGAUACUGGAAGGCUAGAAUCCGGGAGAGGGAUGCGGAAUUCCAGGUGUAGCGGUGAAAUGCGUAGAUAUCUGGAGGAACACCGGUGGCGAAGGCGGCAUCCUGGACCGGUAUUGACGCUGAGGCGCGAAAGCCAGGGGAGCAAACGGG